GGAUUUAAAGAUUAGAUGUAGGGCUAUGAAUGCACUUCUGGAUAGAUUGAUUUCAGAAAUUAAAAUUAAUGUCUCGGGAAUUUUGUGAUGUGGUAGCCAUAUGAAGAUAUCAGUGUGGUACAACUACUGUUAGUAGUUCGUGGUUGAUUUCUUGUUUCUCAUGAAUGGAUCAUGGGCACAGUCAAGUGAGACCCUUGCAAGUUUGGGGGCUGGUCAUCUUGACCCUGUUGGCAAAAACUAAUAUUGACAUACUACUUGAUUAUUCCAUGAAGUUCAAGUCCCAGUGAAAUCUUUAUCAGGAAUGAAUGAACAUAUUUAUACAUUCCCGUAAAUGCCCAUGCCUAAUUUGCAUGUUCAGCUUACUCUAUCUUGUAUAGGCAUUAAAACAGGAAUGUUGUAAGUUCCCCUCUAGCUGAACAUAGUUUUCUAUGUCUUUUGUGAAAAAAAUUGAAUGGGGAAUAUAUAAGAUUAGCAGCAGAGUGAUUUUUUUUUUUCCUCUUUAUGUGUCAGGCGGCCUUCCUAAACUUUCAAAUAUUAGGAUUUUCAUGUUUUUUCAUGUAUUGAGAACACAAAUCUAUUAUUUGCAGCACUUUAAAAAUAUGAAGUAAAAGUUUACAGGUUAGCCCUCUCUGACGAUCUUGUCAGACAUUAAAAUAUAGUUCUUGAGCUGCCAACAAUCAGCUCUUCUUAAUUAAAAGUUACCAUCAGUGAAUAGUGUAUCCAAUGGUACAACAUUCUGGUAAUUCUCUAACAGUAAA
rnacentral:lncRNA from 1 species